UCUAAACGUCUUCUGAUUCCUGCCAUAAAUCGACUAAUUUGUUGCUAAGGUAGCAGCAACCAUUUCUGAUGAAGGGCAUUGUUUAUUUCAUGAUGUGUUUGAACUGGGGUGUCCUUUCGCGCACUUUCCAUCCAAUAGUGUCCCAUAUAUGCUCGAUAUGGUUCAAAUCCGGGCUACAAUCGGGCAAAGGAAGAUGAACCGAAUUCUAUUGGAACAAUGGAUCUUCCUCCACGAUGCUAAUUUCCAACUUUGGCGAGCUCUGCACUACAGUUGAUACGGAAAACUGUGUGUCUGUUCGUAAGCAAAUG
rnacentral:lncRNA from 1 species